rnacentral:lncRNA from 1 species
CGGGUAAAAAUGAAUGGGAUGGUAGUGGUGGUAAAAACAAAGGUUCCCACAAUGGAAAUGGAGGCAAUGGUGGUGGUGGAAACAAUAAUGGCAAUGGAGCUAAAAAGGGUGGAGGCAAAAAUGGUGGUGGUGGGGGCCAUGAGAUGAUGAACAAAAUUAAAAGUGGUGGGUUUCAAGACAUUGAUGUUAUUAAUAAUGGCAAAGGAGGUGGGGGUGGGGGUGGGGGUGGUGCCGCCGGCGGCGGUAAGAAUAUGGGGCAGAUGGGCCAAAUGGGUGGUCAGAUGGGUCACAUGGGUUCAAUGGGUGGUCAGAUGGGUUAUAACAUGGGCCAAAUGGGAAACCAUCCGAUGAACCAGAUGAGUAAUUUUGCUGCAGUGCAAGGACUACCAGCAGCAAUGAAUAAUGGUGGUGGGUAUUAUCAAGGGAUGGGACCAGGAAAUCCUUAUAAUCAGCCUCAAUAUAUGGCAGCCAUGAUGAUGAACCAACAACGUGCAAAUGGAGGGAUGUAUCCACCCAUGAUGUAUGCUCAUCAACCAUAUCCCCAACCAAAUUAUGGACCUCCACCCAUGCAUCCACCCCCAUCUGAAUCUUAUGCUCAUUACUUCAGUGAUGAAAAC